AAAGUACCGAAGUUUCUGAUGUCACACUGCCGAGAAAAGCUUCUAGUUAGAAAACAACAGCCCGUACCGUAAACCGACACAGGUAGUCGAGGAGAGUAUCCUAAGGUGUGCGAGAGAACUCUCGUUAAGGAACUCGGCAAAAUGACCCCGUAACUUCGGGAGAAGGGGUGCUGUUCGCAAGAACAGCCGCAGUGAAUAGGCCCAAGCGACUGUUUAUCAAAAACACAGGUCUCUGCAAAAUCGAAAGAUGAAGUAUAGGGGCUGACGCCUGCCCGGUGCUGGAAGGUUAAGAGGAGUGCUUAGCGCAAGCGAAGGUACGAAUUGAAGCCCCAGUAAACGGCGGCCGUAACAAUAACGGUCCUAAGGUAGCGAAAUUCCUUGUCGGGUAAGUUCCGACCCGCACGAAAGGCGUAACGAUUUGGGCACUGUCUCAACGAGAGACUCGGUGAAAUUUUAGUACCUGUGAAGAUGCAGGUUACCCGCGACAGGACGGAAAGACCCCAUGGAGCUUUACUGUAAUUUGAUAUUGAGUGUCUGUACCGCAUGUACAGGAUAGGUAGGAGCCGUAGAGAUCGGGACGCUAGUUUCGAUGGAGGCAAUGGUGGGAUACUACCCUUGCGUUAUGGCCACUCUAACCCGCAUCACUAAUCGUGAUGGGAGACAGUGUCAGAUGGGCAGUUUGACUGGGGCGGUCGCCUCCUAAAAGGUAACGGAGGCGCCCAAAGGUUCCCUCAGAAUGGUUGGAAAUCAUUCGUAGAGUGCAAAGGCAAAAGGGAGCUUGACUGCGAGAGCUACAACUCGAGCAGGGACGAAAGUCGGGCUUAGUGAUCCGGUGGUUCCGCAUGGAAGGGCCAUCGCUCAACGGAUAAAAGCUACCCUGGGGAUAACAGGCUUAUCUCCCCCAAGAGUCCACAUCGACGGGGAGGUUUGGCACCUCGAUGUCGGCUCGUCGCAUCCUGGGGCUGUAGUCGGUCCCAAGGGUUGGGCUGUUCGCCCAUUAAAGCGGCACGCGAGCUGGGUUCAGAACGUCGUGAGACAGUUCGGUCCCUAUCCGUCGCGGGCGUUGGAAAUUUGAGAGGAGCUGUCCUUAGUACGAGAGGACCGGGAUGGACUUACCGCUGGUGUACCAGUUGUCUCGCCAGAGGCAUCGCUGGGUAGCUAUGUAGGGAAGGGAUAAACGCUGAAAGCAUCUAAGUGUGAAGCCCACCUCAAGAUGAGAUUUCCCAUUUCUUUAAGAAAGUAAGAUCCCUGAGAGAUGAUCAGGUAGAUAGGUCAGGAGUGGAAGUGCAGCGAUGUACGGAGCGGACUGAUACUAAUCGAUCGAGGACUUAACCAU
rnacentral:rRNA from 1 species